GAUGAACGCUGGCGGCGUGCCUAAUACAUGCAAGUCGAGCGAACGGACGAGAAGCUUGCUUCUCUGAUGUUAGCGGCGGACGGGUGAGUAACACGUGGAUAACCUACCUAUAAGACUGGGAUAACUUCGGGAAACCGGAGCUAAUACCGGAUAAUAUUUUGAACCGCAUGGUUCAAAAGUAAAAGACGGUCUUGCUGUCACUUAUAGAUGGAUCCGCGCUGCAUUAGCUAGUUGGUAAGGUAACGGCUUACCAAGGCAACGAUGCAUAGCCGACCUGAGAGGGUGAUCGGCCACACUGGAACUGAGACACGGUCCAGACUCCUACGGGAGGCAGCAGUAGGGAAUCUUCCGCAAUGGGCGAAAGCCUGACGGAGCAACGCCGCGUGAGUGAUGAAGGUCUUCGGAUCGUAAAACUCUGUUAUUAGGGAAGAAUAUAUGUGUAAGUAACUGUGCACAUCUUGACGGUACCUAAUCAGAAAGCCACGGCUAACUACGUGCCAGCAGCCGCGGUAAUACGUAGGUGGCAAGCGUUAUCCGGAAUUAUUGGGCGUAAAGCGCGCGUAGGCGGUUUUUUAAGUCUGAUGUGAAAGCCCACGGCUCAACCGUGGAGGGUCAUUGGAAACUGGAAAACUUGAGUGCAGAAGAGGAAAGUGGAAUUCCAUGUGUAGCGGUGAAAUGCGCAGAGAUAUGGAGGAACACCAGUGGCGAAGGCGACUUUCUGGUCUGUAACUGACGCUGAUGUGCGAAAGCGUGGGGAUCAAACAGGAUUAGAUACCCUGGUAGUCCACGCCGUAAACGAUGAGUGCUAAGUGUUAGGGGGUUUCCGCCCCUUAGUGCUGCAGCUAACGCAUUAAGCACUCCGCCUGGGGAGUACGUCCGCAAGGUUGAAACUCAAAGGAAUUGACGGGGACCCGCACAAGCGGUGGAGCAUGUGGUUUAAUUCGAAGCAACGCGAAGAACCUUACCAAAUCUUGACAUCCUUUGACAACUCUAGAGAUAGAGCCUUCCUCUUCGGGGGACAAAGUGACAGGUGGUGCAUGGUUGUCGUCAGCUCGUGUCGUGAGAUGUUGGGUUAAGUCCCGCAACGAGCGCAACCCUUAAGCUUAGUUGCCAUCAUUAAGUUGGGCACUCUAAGUUGACUGCCGGUGACAAACCGGAGGAAGGUGGGGAUGACGUCAAAUCAUCAUGCCCCUUAUGAUUUGGGCUACACACGUGCUACAAUGGACAAUACAAAGGGCAGCGAAACCGCGAGGUCAAGCAAAUCCCAUAAAGUUGUUCUCAGUUCGGAUUGUAGUCUGCAACUCGACUACAUGAAGCUGGAAUCGCUAGUAAUCGUAGAUCAGCAUGCUACGGUGAAUACGUUCCCGGGUCU
rnacentral:rRNA from 1 species